rnacentral:rRNA from 1 species
UACGUAGGGUGCGAGCGUUGUCCGGAAUUAUUGGGCGUAAAGGGCUCGUAGGCGGUCUGUCGCGUCGGGAGUGAAAACUCAGGGCUUAACCCUGAGCCUGCUUCCGAUACGGGCAGACUAGAGUUCGGCAGGGGAGACUGGAAUUCCUGGUGUAGCGGUGAAAUGCGCAGAUAUCAGGAGGAACACCGGUGGCGAAGGCGGGUCUCUGGGCCGAUACUGACGCUGAGGAGCGAAAGCGUGGGGAGCGAACAGG